GGAUGCGAUCAUACCAGCACUAAAGCACCGAAUCCCAUCAGAACUCCAAAGUUAAGCGUGCUUGGGCGAGAGUAGUAUUAGGAUGGGUGACCUCCUGGGAAGUCCUCGUGUUGCAUUCC
rnacentral:rRNA from 1 species